rnacentral:lncRNA from 13 species
AUGGCACCCUAUUUCCUUACGCAGCCAGCUCCUUCUGACCAGGCCCCCCCACAGCCGGCUCCUUCUGACCAGGCCCCCCCACAGCCGNNNNNNNNNNNNNNNNNNNNNNNNNNNNNNNNNNNNNNNNNNNNNNNNNNNNNNNNNNNNNNNNNNNNNNNNNNNNNNNNNNNNNNNNNNNNNNNNNNNNNNNNNNNNNNNNNNNNNNNNNNNNNNNNNNCCCACAGCCGGCUCCUUCUGACAAGGCCCCCACAGCCAGCUCCUUCUGACAAGGCCCCACAGCCGGCUCCUUCUGACAAGGCCCCCACAGCCGGCUCCUUCUGACAAGGCCCCCACAGCUAGCUUAAUGACCACAUGAGGUUUGACAGCGCUGGUACAUGGGGGCCUCGUUUAUAAACGUCGCAAAAUAUACCCCAAAACAUGAGUUCACCAGCUCAAGCAAAAGUUCAUGAAGACUGAACUUGAAGUGAGAAAUGUGCUUAUCCUCCAACAAACUUCAGACAGUACAGUUUCUCGUGCGUACAGUUUCUCGUGCGCACAGUUUCUCGUGCGUACACACUUCCUGGCAUUUAAAAGAGGCAACAGUAGCCUUUAAAAUAACUAAAAUAACAUGUAGCCAAAUAUAACAAGAUACAAUCAUCUGCUGUUAGUGAGAAGAGUGAAAAAUAGAUGUAUCUUUUCAUUGUAAAAUAAUUAGGGGAAAAAAAAAAAAUCAUUGAUUUUCUAUGAUUUAUUUAGUUUCCAUGACCCCUGCAGAAUAAAUUAAUUUUCUGACUGGAUGGUUUCACACGGGUGAAAAUAGCCUAUAGACCAAGAACGAUGGAUAGGCUUACCAUCCGUCCCAUCUCUCAUUUAAAAAACAGACCCACUCCACAGUGGUAAAUAGAUACGCUAUUUCAAGCAGCACUCAUUUUGCUCUAUAGUGUAAAUGGUAAAACAGACAGACGGUUCACCUUUUCCAUUGACGUUUGUUUGGUCUGAGUAACUGGAACGAGGAAAUGUCUUGCAUAGACCAUAUUUUCAUUUAGAAACAUUAUAAAUGUAUCAUAAAGAUUUCAUAUUUUCUGGCCAUGAUAAGUUCAUAUUCACCAAGUGGCCAUACAACAACUGAGCAUAAGCAUCUCGUUAAAUUGGGCCAAUUAGAGAGGUUAAUAUACAUUUGAAGUGUUUGUUCCAUACAGAGGACAGGGUGCGUGGUUUAUAAACAUACAGUAGAAUUUAACAGGUUACCAUUGUAAAAGAGGUCUACUGUAUUUUUUUCCAUUGUGUUCAAGUAGACAAUAUUUCUGAAUGUUGUGGGCAGGGCCUCAUAUUUAAGGGGUCGGGACAAAGUAAAAACGCCAAACAUUACUGAAAAUAAAUACAAUUAAAAACGACAUGUUUACAGCUCCACAACAAAUUUGCAUUUGUUUGUCAUAAACAACAACAAAAAAUGUCACCGUAAAAGGAAACGUUCUGACAACAAAAAGACAUUUGAGUUUGAAAUUAUUUCCUUUAGAUAGUAUCUUGGGCCUAAGACCCCCAAAGUAUAAAGCAAAUAGAGGAGCGUUGUGUUGUCACCAUUAAAAACAAGGUGACUGAUGGGUGUUUUCAGACGGAGUUAUGAUGCUCGUUCACGUGCGUCGUUUUCUGACAGGUCUGAUUUAUAAACAGGAAGCACGAGUAUGUAUGGUGUGCGUCAACUUCAUAAAUCAUUGUGUGUGUGUAGUCUUCUCAGAAAUAGCACAACAGUUUAUAAACAACGCCCCCCCCCCCGGGAAGAAGACAUUGACCUACUAUAGCAAGGUCAUAAUCCCCCAUAAUCCUCUGGUCAAAACUAAAGUGGUUUGACUUGAGGAUGAGUGAGCACAACUUUUGACCAACGCCCUAAACUUACAUUUCUACCCCUUGACCUUUUCCAUAUUUUGUUACAUAACAGCCUUAUUCUAAAAUGUAUUAAAUUUGUUUUUUCCACCCUCAUCAAUCUACACACAAUAGCCCAUAAUGACAUCACAAUACCCCAUAAUGACAUCACAAUAGAAAACCUCAUAAUGACAUCACAAUAGCCCAUAAUGACAUCACAAUAGAAAACCUCAUAAUGACAUCACAAUAGCCCAUAAUGACAUCACAAUAGAAAACCUCAUAAUGACAAAGCAAAAACAGGUUUAAUGUAUUAAAUAUAUAUUUUAAAAAGGCAUUCAGACCCUUUAAUCAGUUACAAGCUUGGUACACCUGUAUUUGGGGAGUGUCUCCCAUUCUUCUCAAGCUCUGUCAGGUUGGAUGGGGAGCGUCGCUGCACAGCUAUUUUCAGGUCUCUUCAGAGAUGCUCGAUCGGGUUCAAGUCCGGGCUCUGGCUGGGUCACUCAAGGACAUUCAGAGACUUGUCCCGAAGCCACUCCUGUGUUGUCUUGGCUGUGUGCUUAGGAUCGUUGUCCUGCUGGAAGAUGAACCUUCGUCCCAGUUUGAGAUCCUGAGCGCUCUGGAGCAGGUUUUCAUCAAUGAUCUCUCUGUACUUUGCUCCGUUCAUCUUUCCCUCGAUCCUGACUGGUCUCCCAGCCCCCUGCCGCUGAAAAACAUCCCCACAGCAUGAUGCUGCCACCACCAUGCUUCACCAUAGGGAUGGUGCCAGGUUUCCUCCAGACGUGAUGCUUGGCAUUCAGGCCAAAGAGUUCAAUCUUGGUUUCAUCAGACCAGAGAAUCUUUAGAUGCCUCCAAGCAUGCUGUGAUGUGCCUUUUACCGAGGAGUCCGUCUUGCCACUACCAUAAAGGCCUGAUUUGGUGAAGUGCUGCAGAGACGGUUGUCCUUCUGGAAGGUUCUCUCACUCAGAAGAACUCAUGGUCACUCUCUGUCAGAAUGACCAUGGGGAUCUUGGUCGCCUCCCUGACCAAGGCUCUUCUUCCCCGGUUGAUCAGUUCGGCCGGGCGGCCAGCUCUAGGAAGAGUCUUGGUGGUUCCAACGGGUCUUAAUACUUAUUUACUUAUUAUACUUACGUUUUAAAAAAAAUUGUAAUACAUUUGCAAAAUAAAAAAACAGUUUUUAUCUUUAAGUAAUUAAUUAACUAAUUUGUAAUUAAGGUGUGUUGUGUAUAGAUUGACGAGGAAAACAAUUAACUUAGAAUAAGGCUGCAACGUAAUUGUUUUGGGGUCUGAAUACAUUCAGAAUAUACUGUAUACAGAGCAUUGACAGGAGUGCAGUUUCCAUGUUUCAGAAGGUAACCUUCCUCCUCUCCAUUAGCUGAAACAAGUCUUUAUUUUUACAAGGUUAUCCCAACGGUCCCUCAUUCAUUCUUUAUUUAUUAUUAUUAUUUUUUUAAUUGUUUAAUUUUACCCCUUUUCCUCCCCAAUUUCAUGGUAUCCAAUCGUUUAGUAGCUACUAACUUGUCUCAUCGCUACAAAAAAAAAGUCAUGCGUCCUCCGAUACACAACCCAACCAAGCCGCACUGCUUCUUAACACAGCGCGUAUCCAACCCGGAAGCCAGCCGCACCAAUAUGUCGGAGGAAACACCGUGCACCUGACCACCUUGGUUAGCGUGCACUGCGCCCGGCCCGCCACAGGAGUCGCUGGUGCGCGAUGAGACAAGGAUUUCCCUACCGGUCAAACCCUCCCUAAACCGGACGACGCUAGGCCAAUUGUGCGUCGCCCCACGGACCUCCCGGUCACGACAGAGCCUGGGCACGAACCCAGGGUCUCUGGUGGCGCUGCAGUACAGCUCCCUGAACCAGUACGCCACCCGGGAGGCCUCCUCAUUCAUUCUAAGUAACUUACUACAAACACUCACCUCAUAAGAACACCGGUCUCCUGAUUCCUGGGGGGAAAAAGCAGCAUACGUUACUUUCACCUCAAAGAUCAUUUCUGAACUGAACAUAUGAUCGUUUGAGGUUGUUUCCCCCAUAAUGCUUCGGUUGAGCAUCUUCACUUGAAUUCACGCUCGUAGUCGACAAGACUGAAUUACACAGAAUGCCCUGUUACGAUGAAGAAAACACACCAAAAAAAAUAUACUACAUUCAAUUCAGUAAAAUCAAAUAAUAAGAAGUCUAAUCAAAUCAUUUUGAUUAUGUAUGCAGGGUUAUUAAAAACAAUGUUUCAAUAGAUCUAUAAAUAGUGAGAUUAUGGUAGAUAAAAGACAUAUUGAACCAGUCCUUACACUUUGGAGUGUUCAGAAGAUUGGCUGGUAGUAUAUGACGCCUCCCGAGUCUCAGAAUCCUCCCCUGUCUCCUGGCCUGCCUUGACCACCUUAGUGGCUGCCUGAAAAACAGGGGGUAAAGCAGAAUAAAAAAACACUAUUACAGGAGUUACUUCCCAAAAGGCACCCGAUACCCCUAAGUAAGUAUGUAAGCCUUGUACGAGCCAGAAAGACCCAUAGGACAGGAGCCUAUUCCCUGCUUCUGUAGUUGAUGC